rnacentral:rRNA from 1 species
AUUGACCGCUGGCGGCAGGCCUAACACAUGCAAGUCGAGCGGAGCGGCGGACGGGUGAGUAAUACCUAGGAAUCUGCCAGGUAGUGGGGGAUAACGUCCGGAACCGGGCGCUAAUACCGCAUACUAUCAGAUGAGCCUAGGUCGGAUUAGCUAGGUGGUGGGGUAAAGGCCUACCAAGGCGAAGAUCCGUAACUGUGCUGAGAGGAUGAUCAGUGACACGGGAACUGAGAUACGGUCCAGAUUCGUACGGGAGGCAGCAGUGGGGAAUAUUGGACAAUUGGCGAAAGCCUGAUCCAGCCAUGCCGCGUGUGUGAAGAAGGUCUUCGGAUUGUAAAGCUCUUUAAGUUGGGAGGCGUUACCAACAGAAUAAGCACCGGCUAACUUCGUGCCAGCAGCCGCGGUAAUAC